UUUCCUCUUUCUAACUUCCAGGGUCCAUGCUGGAAGCUGCACCCUCCCAGUCUGUGUUCCACCUGGAGACGUCCUGCAAGCUGCAGGAGUGGACGUGAAGGCCCCGAGUGUGCGGGAGCAGACAAGCUUCCACGAGAGAUUGGGAGGGAGGAUGAAGCAAGGGAGAAGAAGAGUCACAAGUGAUCCUGAGGUUUUGAGACUGCCCGAGUAAGAGAAGGAUCUAGGUUGCCAUUGACAUGGAUAAGGAAGCCUGCGAGUCGGAGAGACAAAGGACUUCCUGAGGAUAGUGAGGAGGCUGCUUUGUGAUAGGUUAAGAUGGAGUGGAGAUCUGUCGGAGCCCAGCCAACGUGAUGAGUGUGGAUGGUUGGAUGUCCCCAAAAUGCACGCCGGGGAGCUCCUCAGCGGGGAGUCGUGAGGAUGAAAUGAGCUGAAGUGACACAAGUUGUCCUGUGCUGCCUCCAGAGGCCCCGGAUAAGACAGCUGCUCAGCAGAACAGCCAGCCUGGUCCUGCUCCUCGCUGGAGUCCAGCCCAGUGCUGCUUGGUUCCCGCGGAGGAGCUGGGCCUCGGGGUGUCCUGACCAAGGACGGAGGAGCUUCUGUAUAUGUAUCCACCCACCUGGGGCCUCAGGACAGCCGGGGUCCGCUCCACACUUGAGCUUCUCUCUUUUUAUGUCUUUCUGAUCUGCUGGGGACAGAUCGUCAAGAUGGCCUUUUCAAAGCAUUAGGUAGCUGGCUUUGGUGUUGGGCCCCAGCUUAGACACCACCCAGUUCGGUUUUGACUUCAAGGCUCAGUGGAGGCAUCUUUUAUUUUUGACAGAGUAGCUUAUGCCCUAAUUUUGUGUCCGUGACCUUGAAAUCCCUGAUAGCCCUGAUUGAAUUGGAAACUUCUCCUUGAACUUUGAUCAUCUGAUCGGCACCCAAGUGAGACCGCUUGAGGCUCCUCUGGUGAUGGAGGAAAUCACAGAGUGGAGGGAUGGAAGGGAUGCUGCGGUUUGUCCCAAGUGACAUCACACUGAUGCACCCAUGGUCACAUCCACUCACUGAAAAGGUUAUCAGUCCCUCAUAAACUCCCAUUCUCUAAGCAUGAAGCUAUUAACUGCAGCCCCAUCUAAACAGCAAUACCACAGGAGUACCCAGUGUUUAGCCCGGACGUAAGUCACUAUCAGGCAAGAAGUGGAAAUUUUAUAGUGGAGUUUUGUGUAAACUUUUCAAUGAUUUUAAAUAAUAAUAAUAAUUAAAAAACCAGAAUAUAAACUUGCAUUUAUGUCAUACUUAAAACUAAGGGGGGCCAAGAAAAUGGAAAGCUAUGGAAAAUAAAACCAAUUGCUAUGCUUGGGCUAUCGGGAUGAUUUUUCUUUUCUAUUAAAUACUAGUGAGUAUGGUA